AUGGAUGCCUUAAUUAAACUAAAUGAAAAGCUGUACGUCGACUUAAAUAAUUAUUAUGAUAAAGUUGACGAUACUGAAGAUUUAGAAAUAUUUGACACGAGUAUUUCAAGAGAAACAAGAAAUGAGGAGGUCAAUGAUGUAACUAAUAAUAUUAAAAUCGAAAUAAAAAAACAAUUAGACAUUUUUAAUGAUUUAUUAAAAUAUAAAAAUAUAAAUUUGGAUAUAUCUCAAAAAAUAGAAGAGAAAAAUAAUUUAGAUAUAAUUAGAAUUGUUCAAUCAAUUAAUAAUUCUUAUGUUAAAAAAAAUGAAGAGUUACAUUAUACUCGAUUAUUGAUGAUAAUACAUUUAAAGAACUAUGUUUCUGAAUAUGUUAAUACAUAUUUAACAAAUAUUAUAAAAAAUUAUGAAAAGAAUAAAUAUAAAAGCGAAACAAAUAGUUUUAAUAAUAUUAUAGUAUGUGAAAAUGGUGGUGAAAAUGGUGGUGGAAGUGGUGGUGGAAGUGGUAGUAAAAAUAGUGGUGAAAAUGGUGGUGAUAAAACAGGUAAUUAUACUGAAAAUACAUUUAUUGAAAAUACAUUUAUUGAAUAUCAUGAUAAAAAAGCAGAAUCCGCUUUUAGUUCCCAACACAUGCAAAAUCAAUUUUUAUUUAUUACAUUUAUGAAAAAAAAUAUUACUGAAAAUUUGAAGCUAAUAAAAAAUGUAGUACAGAAUGAUACAAAAUGUAUUAGACAAAAAGAAUGGGAGUAUUUAAAAGAAAAAAUAUUAUUACUAAUUAAAAAUUCGUGUUUAAUAAGUUACACUUAUAAUAGUAAUAUUGGUGUUGAUAAGAAAAAAAGCAAAGAAGGUACAAAACUAGAUGAAUUAAUUAAUAAUAACAUGUAUCGUAAUUUUAAAAAAUAUAAAAGUAUAGUCGAAAUGCAUAAGUUUAACAUGUGUUUAUAUUUUAUUGAUAUAUUUUUUAACUUAUUUUUAAUUGAUUAUCCAUAUAAUUGGAAUGAUAAUAUAAUUGUUCAAAUUUUUAAUACGUUUAAAUUUGUUUCUAUAAUAAAAAAUAAUGAUUUUUCCAACGUUUUAAAUAAUGAUUAUAAUUCGAUAAUUGGUUGUUUGAUGGAUUUGAUUAGGUGCAAUGAUAUGGUGGAAAAUGUAGAAUCCAUCACUGCUACUUCUGUUUCCAAUAAAAGUCACAACUUCAUACAAACCAAUUGCAUAAAUGGAAACACUUACAGUUUGAUCAUACAUUUUCAAAAUUUUUAUUCAUUGAUUUUUGUACUAAACAAAAUAAUAAAAAAAUAUAAUCCGAAAUGUGAAAGUAAAAAUACAUACUCUUUAUUAUAUCAUAAAUAUUUUAUUUCUUUUAUAAACAAUAAAAAUAAUGAUAUGUUGGAGAACGAAAAUGAAUAUAGUAAUUUAAAAAUACCAUGUGAGAAUUUGUUACAAGGGUUUAAAAAUAUUAUAGAAAUAUUUUUUCCUUUAUUUAAUAGGUUAUUGUUUUAUUUAUUAAAAUAUACAGACAAUAUAUAUACAAUUUUUAUGAUAAAAAAAAUAGUAAAAUUUUUAUAUAAAAUAUUAUUAUGUCCUUUUAGUACUUUACCUGAAUGUAUAGUUUAUAAUGAAGCAGAUAUUUUAUUUUCAAAUUUAAUGAACAUAAUAAAUAUAGAUUUAUUUACAUACGUAAAUAAAUUAUAUUUUUUAGAAUCAUCGUCUAAAACAGAUUCUAUAUCUGUAUCUAAAAUAACUGAAAAUGAAUCAUAUGAAAAUUUAUUUGAAUUUGCUUAUGAUAAAGAAACGAGUUUAAAUAGAUUAUUUUUAACUAUUUUAUUAAAAACAAAAAAAUGGGGUUUAAAAAUUUUGAAUUUGUUUUUAUAUAGAUGUAUUAAUUAUGAACAAAUGAAUAUAUCUUGGAAAUCGUUACUAACAAAAUUUGAAACAAAAUUUAUAAUUUUUUUAGAAAGUACUGCAAUUUUAUUUGUGAAAAUGCUUAUAAAUGCUAGUUAUACAGACAAUGAUAAAAUAAAUAAUAAUAGGUUUCUUUUUUAUUCAAAUUAUUUAAUCAAUUUUACUGACUAUAUGAAAUUUGCUAAUAAAGGUUUAUCUCUUUCGUUAAAUUUUUUAUCUAUGACCAUUUCGUAUGACCAUUUGCAAGUUUUUGUAAAGCAAAAUAUUUUGAACGAGUUUUUUUUGAGUUGUCUUUUUGUUCAUAUAAAUAGCAGUUCCCACAUUGAGUGUCUGGACAACUUCUCUAUUAAUAAUAAAGAUCUGGAACAAGAUGAAAUGAUAUUUGAUAAUUUAAAAUUUGAAAAAUAUAUUAUAUGUUUUGAAAAAAUUCCAUUAUACAAAAAAUAUCUGUUAAAUUAUCAUGAUGAUACUAAAUCUAAGAACAUAUUAAAACGAUAUGUUAAUUAUAUUAUAUUUUUAUUUUGUGAAUUAUUAAAUAAAUAUUUUUAUGAUAUAAUAUUUCAUUUGGAAAUAAAUAUAAAAAAUAAUUUAUAUAAUUGUUUAUUUAUUCAAAAUGAGUAUAUGCAUUUAUUAUAUCCUGACAUAUUUCAAAAUAAAGAAUUAAUAAUAUCGUCAAAAGAUAAUAUGAACUUACAUUAUAAUUACGAAAAAGAUAGUAGCUUAAAUAAUAACAAACUGUAUUUACAAACUGAAAAUCAUAUAAUACAUAUUAAUAAUUUAAUUAUAUACAUAAUUGAUAUAAUAAAAAAUGAAUUAAAAAUAAAUAAAAGAAAUUAUAAUUUUGAUUUUUCUAAUUUUUCUAUAUUAAAUCAUAACAUAUCCAAUAACCUACUUUUUUUAAUAAAAGAGUUACCAUUGUAUAAAUAUAAACAAGAGGAAUUAUUAUUUAAUGAUUUAUAUAAUAAAGAAAAUUCUAAAAAUUUGAAUUUAAGUUAUAUUCUUAUGAAUGACAUAAAUUUAUAUAAAUAUUUUAAUCUCUUUUUGUUUUUAACACAUUAUAAAUAUUCAUUUCUUAAAAAAGUUUUAAAAAAUAUAGUACCAAAAGAUGUGUUUGUUGAGAAGAGAGAAAUGGAAAGUUCUUAUUCUUACAUAAGUGAUGAAGAAAAUAAAGAAAAUUUUCCUUUAGAUGAUUAUAUUGAAGAAUAUUGUACAUAUAAAGAAAAAUACAGUUCCGCAUUAAUUACAACAACUGAUGGUAAUAUUGAUGGUAGUACUGAUAGUAUAACCGAUAAUAAUUUAUUGAGCCAACAAUUAGACAAAUAAUUAACGAUUUUAAAAAAAAUGAUAAAAACUUUUUUCUGAACUAUAUAUUAGUAAACAUUUUUCACCCUUACUCAAAUAACUUAAAAAGAAUAUCCAUGUGGAUACUAAACGAAUAUAUAAAUAUAACAACAUUUGAUGAAAAUAUUUUACAUUUUUUUUUACAUAUUUGUUUUAUAAAUUUAUUUUCUUUUGAAAAACAUUUAAAGUAUUCCGCUUUUAAUGUAUUAAUUAAUUUGAUGUAUAAAUAUGGUACUCCAAGAGGUAUAUUUUGUACUUUUUUUCGACAAAUUUUUGUUUUUUUAUUUUUUCAUUUAUUAAUUUUGUUUAUAAAAAAUGAGUCCAAUUUGGUAGAGAGUGAAUAUUAUGACAAGAAUAUAAAUGUAAUGUUAAGUGAAAACUAUGAAAAAAAAUAUCUUUUAAAAUAUAUAAGGAACGAAAUAGAUGAUUGUAACAUUUUAAAUGAUAAAACAAAAUUGGUUAAGGAGUAUUUAUAUAAUCAAAUAAACUGUUUUACUGAUUUUUUUAUUACA
ensembl:lncRNA